rnacentral:rRNA from 1 species
CCUACGGGUGGCUGCAGUGAGGAAUAUUGGUCAAUGGACGAGAGUCUGAACCAGCCAAGUAGCGUGAAGGAUGAAUGCCCUAUGGGUUGUAAACUUCAUGUAUAAAGGAAUAAAACGAGGCACGUGUGCCUUUUUGCAUGUACGUUAUGAAUAAGGAACGGCUAACGCCGUGCCAGCAGCCGCGGUAAUACGGAGGAUCCGAGCGUUCUACAGAUUUAUUGGGUUUAAAGGGAGCGUAGAGGGGUUGUUAAGUCCGUUGUGACAGUUUGCGGCUCAACCGUAAAAUUGCAAUUGAUACUGGCAGUCUUGAGUACAGUUGAGGUAGGCGGAAUUCGUGGUGUAGCGG